UUUCACUCUUCUCCACAGCUGGCUGACAGACCAACAACAGCACAAGUCAGAGAUGCCCACAGGCUGAUUGUACCACAUAUACAACCCGGUCUGACAACAGAUGCUCUCUUCAGGCUGCUUAAAUCCUCAGUCAGAAGCCUCUGUGUUUGUCCACACUGUCAGCUAGACGGCCUGAUGAAAGGCAGUCACUCUGCGGCCGGUCCGUCUGUGCUUUCAGGUGAGAAGGUUUCAUUAUAUUGAUUUCCCAGGAGGCUCACCUCUACUCAGUUCUCUCCUUGUUGGGUCAUUUCUGCUCAGUUUCUGAGACCUUCUCAUUAUUCUGCAGCCUGAUACCCAAACAUAUGGAUCAGCGAGUGAUUCUGUGCCUCGAUACAUGCUGUUAUUUUUUUCUGUUCUAACACCCACAGUAUCAUUUACUUUUAUAUUCCUCAUUGCUGUAAAACCAGCAGCAGCCAUUAAUCAUGAGUCUGAAUGCUCACAUUGCUUGUUUCUCAUUCAGCCCGCAGGCUGUCGUGGAUGCCGCCUUCCCAGAAGGCCACUGGCUAGCAGCUCGUUAGUGUGUCAACUAACUGACCACCCACGACUCUGCCUGCAUGCCUUGGCCUGGCCCCAGAGGCUCAUGGGUAAUCUGUCAUCCAGUGUGUGUAAAGCCCAACAGAAAACUCUCAGAGACCUGCACGCUGCCUUCUCUAACUUGUGCUCACCGUUCUUCUGCUCAAAGCCGAUGGAAAAAUCCAAAUGGCUGCAGCCUGCUGAUAGCAGACCUUCAGUCAGAGAGGAUGGAGCUGUGAUGUUUCUAUCAGCAGACAAGCAAAUGAACGAACUUCCAGCUGAGCCUCUGAAGCCACAUCAGCUGCCUCCCUCCUCUUCCUCCUCACCCCGUCCUCUGUCAGCCCUUUCUUUUGUCUCACUUUAUCCCCCCGUGCCACUCUGUGACUCUUUUCUUCUCUUUCGUAAACGGUUAAAGUCACUCCUAGAAUAUGUUAUGUUCCUUUAUCGUCCCCGUUGA
rnacentral:lncRNA from 1 species